rnacentral:rRNA from 1 species
UGGGGAAUUGUUCGCAAUGGGCGCAAGCCUGACGACGCAACGCCGCGUGGAGGAUGAAGAUUUUCGGAUCGUAAACUCCUGUCGAAUGGGACGAAUAGGUCGUGAGUUAACAGCCCGCGAUCCUGACGGUACCGUUAAAGGAAACCCCGGCUAACUCCGUGCCAGCAGCCGCGGUAAUACGGGGGGGGUAAGCGUUGUUCGGAAUUACUGGGCGUAAAGGGCUCGUAGGCGGCCAACUAAGUCAUACGUGAAAUCCCUCAGCUUAACUGGGGAACUGCGUGUGAUACUGGAUGGCUUGGAUUUGGGAGAGGGAUGCGGAAUUCCAGGUGUAGCGGUGAAAUGCGUAGAUAUCUGGAGGAACACCGGUGGCGAAGGCGGCAUCCUGGACCAAUAUUGACGCUGAGGAGCGAAAGCCAGGGGAGCAAACGGGAUUAGAUACCCCGGUAGUCCUGGCCCUAAACGAUGAAUGCUUGGUGUAGCGGGUAUCGAUCCCUGCUGUGCCGAAGCUAACG